UACAGAGGUCCCAAGCGUUGUUCGGAUUCAUUGGGCGUAAAGGGUGCGUAGGCGGCGCGGUAAGUCGGGUGUGAAAUCUCGGGGCUUAACUCCGAAACUGCAUUCGAUACUGCCGUGCUUGAGGACUGGAGAGGAGACUGGAAUUUACGGUGUAGCGGUGAAAUGCGCAGAUAUCAGGAGGAACACCGAUGGCGAAGGCAGCUCGCUGGGACGGUACUGACGCUGAGGCGCGAAAGCGUGGGGAGCGAACAGG
rnacentral:rRNA from 1 species